AUUGAACGCUGGCGGCAGGCCUAACACAUGCAAGUCGAACGAGUGGCGGACGGGUGAGUAAUGUCUGGGCAACUGCCUGAUGGAGGGGGAUAACUACUGGAAACGGUAGCUACUACCGCAUACUAUCGGAUGUGCCCAGAUGGGAUUAGCUAGUAGGUGGGGUAAAGGCUCACCUAGGCGACGAUCCCUAGCUGGUCUGAGAGGAUGACAAGCAACACUGGAACUGAGACACGGUCCAGACUCCUACGGGAGGCAGAAGUGGGGAAUAUUGCACAAUGGGCGAAAGCCUGAUGCAGCCAUGCCGCGUGUAUGAAGAAGGCCUUCGGGUUGUAAAGUACUUUCAGCGGGGAGGCGUUACCCGAAGAAGAAGCACCGGCUAACUUCGUGCCAGCAGCCGCGGUAAUUC
rnacentral:rRNA from 1 species